AAUGAGAUGGCUGAGAACUUAUUAGGCAUUAGAUUGUAAAUCUAAAGACGGGAAAUUAAUCUCUCUCAUUA
rnacentral:tRNA from 1 species